UACAGAGGGGGCAAGCGUUGUUCGGAAUUACUGGGCGUAAAGGGCGCGUAGGCGGCCUGUUAAGUCGAACGUGAAAUCCCCGGGCUCAACCCGGGAACUGCGUCCGAUACUGGCAGGCUUGAAUCCGGGAGAGGGAUGUGGAAUUCCAGGUGUAGCGGUGAAAUGCGUAGAUAUCUGGAGGAACACCGGUGGCGAAGGCGGCAUCCUGGACCGGUAUUGACGCUGAGGCGCGAAAGCCAGGGGGAGCAAAACGGGG
rnacentral:rRNA from 1 species